UUUCCUACGGGGCGCAGCAGUGGGGAAUAUUGGGCAAUGGGCGCAAGCCUGACCCAGCAACGCCGCGUGAAGGAAGAAGGCCCUCGGGUUGUAAACUUCUUUUGUCAGGGACGAAGCAAGUGACGGUACCUCACGAAUAAGCCACGGCUAACUACGUGACAGCAGCCGUGGUAAUACGUAGGUGGCAAGCGUUAUCCGGAUUUACUGGGUGUAAAGGGCGUGUAGGCGGGGAAGCAAGUCAGAUGCGAAAUUCCAGGGCUCAA
rnacentral:rRNA from 1 species